UGGGGAAUCAUGGUCAAUGGGCGAAAGCCUGAACCUGCGACGCCGCGUGAGUGAUGAAGGUCGUAAGAUCGUAAAACUCUUUUCAGGGAUCUUAAAGCACAACCGUCAACAACGGCUGUGUGUGACUCUCCCUGGAAGAAGCCCCAGCCAACUCCGUGCCAGCAGCUGCGGUAAUACGUAGGGGGCGAGCGUUAUUCGGAAUUACUGGGUGUAAAGGUUAUGUAGGCGGCCCUUCAAGUCGCUGGUCAAAGUCCAGUGCUCAA
rnacentral:rRNA from 1 species